rnacentral:lncRNA from 1 species
AUGAGGCAGCAGGGUCCUCCCCAAAAGCCCCCUGGGGAGCAAGACCCUCCCAGUGCGUCCCAGUGCCUCCCAGUGUGUCCCAGUGCCUCCCAGUGUGUCCCAGUGCGUCCCAGUGCCUCCCAGUGCGUCCCAGUGCCUCCCAGUGCCUCCCAGUGCAUCCCAGUGUGUCCCAGUGCGUCCCAGUGCCUGCCUCCCAGUACCUCCCAGUGCAUCCCAGUGCCUCCCAGUGCCUCCCAGUGUGUCCCAGUGCCUCCCAGUGCGUCCCAGUGCCUCCCAAUGCCUCCCAGUGCCUCCAGUGCGUCCCAGUGCCUCCCAGUGCCUCCCAAUGCCUCCCAGUGCCUCCAGUGCGUCCCAGUGCCUCUCAGUGCAUCCCAGUGCCUCCCAGUGCCUCCCAAUGCCUCCCAGUGCCUCCAGUGCAUCCCAGUGCUUCCCAGUGCUUCCCAGUGCCUCCAGUGCAUCCCAGUGCCUCCAGUGCAUCCCAGUGCCUCCCAGUGCGUCCCAGUGCCUCCCAGUGCCUCCAGUGCAUCCCAGUGCCUCCCAGUGCCUCCAGUGCAUCCCAGUGCGUCCCAGUGCCUCCCAGUGCUUCCCAGUGUGUCCCAGUGCCUCCCAGUGCGUCCCAGUGCCUCCCAGUGCCUCCCAGUGCCUGCCUCCCAGUGCUUCCCAGUGCGUCCCAGUGCCUCCCAGUGCAUCCCAGUGCCUCCCAGUGCCUCCCAGUGCAUCCCAGUGCCUCCCAGUGCCUCCCAGAGCGUCCCAGUGCCUCCCAGUGCCUCCCAGUGCCUCCCAGUGCGUCCCAGUGCCUCCCACUACCGCGACUCAGGACUCAGGGUUUCAAAGUCAGCUGUGAGCCUGGCAGUGACAUCACACAGACCACAGCCGCAGACGUUCGGCACAGCGGUUAAGCCACCACUGGGGACACCCCCCCCCCACAUCCGAGCGCCCAGGUUCAAGUCCCAGCUCUGCCAUGCUCAGGUCCCUGCCGCCCACCUGGGAUGGAACUCCUGGCUUCCAGGGGCAGCCUGGUCCAGCCCCAGUGGACGGGCGGGUGGAUUUCUCCCGCCCCCCCUACCCCCCCGCCCUCUUUAA